ACGACUUCGUUUUGAACAUUCAUGGUACAUCCCUGGGCAUGCCUCAGGUGUGAAUUCGGACAUCUGAAACGAGGUGCUAAAGGUUAACCCAUCAGGGUUUGUUACUUUGCACUCCAAGCCCAAUUGACCACACAUUGAAUUGGCAAUAGACAAGGCGUAAAAAGAUGACAGCAGUUUGGAUGUGUCAACCAGUAUGCCCUUCGACUCUCAACUCGGCCAUAAGCAAUAUCAAUUAGGCUUGCAUGUCAUCUCAGCUUCUUGAGUAUCUGAUUACAUUAUUAUCCAAGAAGAAGAACAUUGUUGAAGUAAAUGUUGAAAACAGUCCAAACCCCCUUCUCACACAAAUACUACAAGUCGCUCGAGACAUUCAGCACGCCACCUAUGAACAUCUCGCACAAAAACAACAAGUCGUUCAAGAAAUUCAGCACGCCACCUAUGAACAUCUCCCACAAAUACUACAAGUCGCUCAAGAUUCAGCACGCCACCUAUGAACAUCUCCUACAAAUACUACAAGUCGCUCAAGAAAUUCAGCACACCACCUAUGAACAUCUCCCACAAAUACUACAAGUCGUUCAAGAAUUUCAGCACGCCACCUAUGAACAUCUCCCACAAAUACUACAAGUUGCUCAAGAAAUUCAGCACGCCACGUAUGAACAUCUCGCACAAAUACUACAAGUUGUUUAAAAAUUUGGCAGGCCAUGUAUGAACAUCUCCCAGAAAUACUACAAGUCGCUCAAGAUUCAGCACGCCACCUAUGAACAUCUCGCACAAAUACUACAAGUCGCUCAAGAAAUUCAGCAUGCCACCUAUGAACAUCUCCCACAAAUACUACAAGUCGCUCAAGAAAUUCAGCACGCCACCUAUAAACAUCUCCCACAAAUACUACAAGUCGCUCAAGAAAUUCAGCACGCCACCUAUGAACAUCUUCCAAUACUACAAGUCGCUCAAGAAAUUCAGCAUGCCACCUAUGACCAUCUCGCACAAAUACUACAUGUCGGUCAAGAAAUUCUGCACGCCAUCUAUGAACAUCUCGCACAAAUACUACAAGUCGCUCAAGAAAUUCAGCACGCCACCUAUGAAAAUCGCCCACAAAUACCACAAGUCGUUCAAGAAAUUCAGCACGCCACGUAUGAACAUCUCCCACAAAUACUACAAGUCGUUCAAGAAAUUCAGCACGCCACCUAUAAACAUCUCACAAAUACUACAAGUCACUCAAGAAAUUCAGCACGCCACCUAUGAACAUCUCCCACAAAUAAUACAAGUUGUUCAAGACAUUCAGCACGCCACGUAUGAUCAUCCCCUUGAAAUACUACAAGUCUUCAACAAAUUCAGCACGUCACCUAUGAACAUCUCACAAAUACUAUAAGUCGCUCAAGAAAAUCAGCACUCCAGGUAUUAACAUCUUGCACAAAUACUACAAGUCGCUCAGGCAAUUCAGCGUGUCACCUAUGAACAUCUUGCAUGGUGGCUUGGUGAGUCUGACUUCUGUCUUGACAAGUCACUCAAGAUAAAAUAAUCGGAUCUAACAGACAGAGCAGGUGCUGAGUGACUCGUCUGUUAACUUGACUGACCUCGAUACGUUGCUCUCGAAUAAUGAGAACCUGACGCACGAGGAACAGUGCUGUCAAACAUUCCCAGUUUUUGGUUGGCGACUUCACUGUCAGGACUCACACAAUCUCUGCCUAUAAGCAACAAAAACAGGUAGUAUAUUAGCUGCGCUCUGGAAAAACAGUGCUAAAGUGUUGUCCCAGAUAAGCGUGUUAAGUCUGCCCAGGCUUAUUAGUGACCACGUGUUCUGAAUAUGCCUUUAAAACAAAAAAUUCCAUUAAAGUGGAAAGUGUCGUGGCUGUUUGUGCAGACAGCACAGUCUAAUCUGGAACGACUCUUUUUUUUAACUGGUCAAACUGAGUAAAUAAAUACUUAUAAGUGUUGAUUUGAUAUCAGUGUUAAUCAUAAAAGGUCGGGGCAUAUUUUCAUACAUUUUUGUGCCAAAAUUCAGCCUCUAAACCAAAAGUUGUUUCUUUGUUUUCACUUGUAUAUUACAAAUAAUCCCUUUUCAUAAAUUAAACAUGAUACUUAUUAAAUGUUGUUUAAGAUAAGUUAAACAAUUAUUGAAAUGCAGUAAACAUUCUAUGAAAUAAUUAUCUGCAUUUAUUUUAAAUAAGAAUAUCUAUAAACUACAAUUUACCACCUGUCCAGGUUUUCAGUAUACAGAUAUGCAACUGGAGUGAUGAUAUGCCCUGAAGAUAUUUAUUAAUUAUACCCCCUGUUAAUUGGGGUAUAAUGGAAUCCCCUUGGACGGACGUCUAUCUGUCUGUCUUUCCAUCUGUCUGUGGGCGUUCACUUAACGAUUCAACGUUCAGCUUUCAAACUUUCAGGACCCCAUGCAGUCACACAUCUGUACACAGCGGACAACAACAGGCUCUCUGGUCAGCUGGGCCCCUACAGGACCCCAUGCAGUCACACAUCUGUACACAGCGGACAACAACGGGCUCUCUGGUCAGCUGGGCCGUUACAGGACCCCAUGCAGUCACACAUCUGUACACAGCGGACAACAACAGGCUCUCUGGUCAGCUGGGCCUGGACGCCCGGGGACAAAUCCUUGGUAUAGGCGGUGAGCUCUUGGGCCAGGAAUUUGGGGCAAAGCUGAAUGAGUCCUACCCCAAGGGUACAUCCAGUCUAACAAUGGGGCUCCAAACUUCCCUUCUCAGGGGCAGAUAUAACCUCAUCUACAAGGGCCCUUAUCAUCACAAGUUUGGCCCAGCAAAUGAUGUUCCUCAACUGCAACACAGCCACUGCAUCUCAACAGGUCCUCAGUCUCUCUUGCAACAACAGAAGCUGAAGUUGAAGUGUGAAAGAGAGGAAGAGUUGACAUAAAAUUGCUGCUUCAGCCUUCAUUGGAACAUCAGCAGCAACAACAAAACUUAAAAUUCAGCAAUCAACAGUUCGAUUGACGAAGGCUUUCAAAUGUUGGAGACUACAUGAGAUUUUGACAGAUGGCGGGAAACCCUCAUCAACUGGAGAUCAGCCGGUAAAAAGGUGGCCUUAAAACAGUGACCGUUGAUUCGCGUCGAGUUCUUUCUUACAUGCUGGAUGACCUAUCUUUUUUAUUGUAUAAAUCCAUUUGGCUUGGCAUGCUCUUUAAGAAAAGGUAUGGGUAUGGGAAUGUCUAGGCGCAAAAGUUUGACUUCAUUUUUCGUUGAAGUUGUCAGUUUCACAUUGAAUUUGUUAAGAAAACCUUUGGUAUAUUGUGACCUUAAAAAUACUAUGGGUAAAAAUAUGGCGGCUGUUAGUGGUUUGCAUCUGACAUUAUGUUUGCUCUAUAUUUCAAAACAUUGGAUCAUCAUGAAAGUUGGUGAUAAAGUUUUUUGUCAUAAUCUCUCGUCCAAGUUUAGUUAGCAGCCAGAUUGAAUUUAGCACUUUCACCGUAUAUUUUUGUUUAAUGAAGAAAAAUUGACCAAAUUAAACUUGUCUGGCAUUGCACUCAUAAUAAAUGUAACCCAGUCUUCUAAACAGGAUUUUGUUGGCAUUCCCGUUGUUCAUUUAUUUGGAUUAUGAAGUGAGUGAAAAAUUGCGCCCUGUCUAAGCAUAAAUACCAUAAUAAUUUAUGCAAUUGGCGUAAUUUUCUUGAUAAUUUACAUAUCUUUUGGAGAAAUGUUUACAUUGCAAAACUAUGUAAUGCUUUGUAUAGUGUAUGUCCUGUGUCUAACUUCAUGUCACAUGGUGAAUUACCUUAAGUAAAGGACCUUGUAGGGAUGGAUAGGAUGAUCUCCUGCUAAUGCUACUGGAGUUUCACUUUGUUGAUAUUUUAUUUCACAGGAAAACAUGUCAAUUACCAACGCAUAUUUCCCUGAAAACCUGGCCAAGCUUAUAAACAGUGCUAAUGCGCCAAACGUGACCCUUCAGAGAAAUGGGAUUCCAGGACAAAUGUCAAACCGUUACCAAUCUGGGCUCCAGCAGCAGACUCAGCCGUGGUGGGCAGGUUUAUAAAGCACCCAUGGUCUCAAUGCUCUCUGAACAUCUCAAUCUCUCAGAAGCCUCAUUCAUGGGGGGCAGGUUUAUAAAGCACCCAUGGUCUCAAUGCUCUCUGAACAUCUCAAUCUCUCAGAAGCCUCAGUCAUGGGGGCAGGUUUAUAAAGCACCCAUGGUCUCAAUGCUCUCUGAACAUCUCAAUCUCUCAGAAGCUUCAGUCGUGGGGGCAGGUUUAUAAAGCACCCAUGGUCUCAAUGCUCUCUGAACAUCUCAAUCUCUCAGAAGCCUCAGUCGUGGGGGCAGGUUUAUGAUGUACCCAUGGUCUCACUGCUCUCUGAACUGCGUUUGAUUGGUAGAUGGUCAUCUUGUGACAAAGCCCUAACUUAUCAUUGGCCAAGUAACUUUUGCACAAUAUCCAAUUAAUAAUUCUGUAUCUCACCACUCAUGGGAAUUCAGAGGCUGUGUAGCUGAUAUUCUAUUCAGGGUUAUUAACUAACAUUGUGCCCAUAGUUGUGUAAAGUUGUGUGAAUAUCUUUGUUUAAAAAAAGGAGAACGCAUAAAACAUUUGCAUCACUUGUAAUCAAAAAUGUUCGAUGAAGGAACAAUCAUUUUGCAAUAUGACAAAUAUUCCAGAAUAUGUUUGUCUUUUGACGGAUCUUGGUCAGUGUCUAGCAGUAUCCAGGCAAACAAGCCAAGUCAGCAAAGCAGCAAUAAGAUCAGCAGCAGUCAAGUUGAGCGUCGCCCAAAACCACCCAGUGCCUUGCGAUGAAAACCUCCAACGGGACUGUGACCUUGCCCUUGUACACACCUAAUGGUCAGGUUGACGGUCACUUGGGCUUAGAUAGUCACUGCAGUAAGAAGAAACUGUGUAAGGUUUUAAAGUAAAGAAGAUGAGUUCACAACAUGACAUCCGAGACUGCAGGGACGAAAUGAGUGUCCUCACUUCAGCAGUGGAAGCCAAGACACAAUACGAGAAUUUCCAGCUGCUUACCUAAUCUGAAAACCUGGGAAGCAGAGCAAUGAGUAUGUCCAAGGAGCAUUUGCAGUCACAGCAAGUGAACCAUGGGCAGUCAUCGUCUCCAGAUUCUGAGAUCCCCAUGCUUCAAAACCAUCAGUCUAUGAAAAUCAUGCAGAGCCAACCUUGGACGUCCAUUGACGAAUCAAACCGGCAAAUCAGAAGGACAGCCUGUUGCUACAGUUGUUAACCCCAGUCAUACAGAAGAAGCUCAGAGAUAUAAAUGCUGUUUAAGAUGUGCUUGUCUCUGCAUACUCCAUGUCUGGUGUGAACAUGUACAAUUGAAGGUCUCUACAUACUCCAUGUCUGGUGUGAACAUAUACAAUUGAAGGUCUCUACAUACCCCAUGUCUGGUGUGAACAUGUACAAUUGAAGGUCUCUACAUACUCCAUGUCUGGUGUGAACAUGUACAAUUGAAGGUCUCUACAUACACCAUGUCUGGUGUGAACAUGUACAAUUGAAUGUCUCUAUAUACCCCAUGUCUGGUGUGAACAUGUACAAUUGAAAGUCUCUACAUACCCCAUGUCUGGUGUGAACAUGUACAAUUGAAGGUCUCUACAUACCCCAUGUCUGGUGUGAACAUGUACAAUUGAAGGUCUCUACAUACCCCAUGUCUGGUGUGAACAUGUACAAUUGAAGGUCUCUACAUACCCCAUGUCUGGUGUGAACAUGUACAAUUGAAAGUCUCUACAUACCCCAUGUCUGGUGUGAACAUGUACAAUUGAAGGUCUCUACAUACCCCAUGUCUGGUGUGAACAUGUACAAUUGAAGGUCUCUACAUACCCCAUGUCUGGUGUGAACAUGUACAAUUGAAGGUCUCUACAUACUCCAUGUCUGGUGUGAACAUGUACAAUUGAAGGUCUCUAUAUACCCCAUGUCUGGUGUGAACAUGUACAAUUGAAGAUCUCUACAUACACCUUGUCUGGUGUGAACAUGUACAAUUGAAUGUCUCUACAUACACCUUGUCUGGUGUGAACAUGUACAAUUGAAGGUCUCUACAUACACCAUGUCUGGUGUGAACAUGUACAAUUGAAUGUCUCUACAUACCCCAUGUCUGGUGUGAACAUGUACAAUUGAAGGUCUCUACAUACCCCAUGUCUGGUGUGAACAUGUACAAUUGAAGGUCUCUACGUACCCCAUGUCUGGUGUGAACAUGUACAAUUGAAGGUCUCUACAUACCCCAUGUCUGGUGUGAACAUGUACAAUUGAAGGUCUCUACAUACCCCAUGUCUGGUGUGAACAUGUACAAUUGAAGGUCUCUACAUACCCCAUGCCUGGUGUGAACAUGUACAAUUGAAAGUCUCUACAUACCCCAUGUCUGGUGUGAACAUGUACAAUUGAAGGUCUCUACAUACCCCAUGUCUGGUGUGAACAUGUACAAUUGAAGAUCUCUACAUACCCCAUGUCUGGUGUGAACAUGUACAAUUGAAGGUCUCUACAUACUCCAUGUCUGGUGUGAACAUGUACAAUUGAAGGUCUCUGCAUACCCCAUGUCUGGUGUGAACAUGUACAAUUGAAGGUCUCUACAUACCCCAUGUCUGGUGUGAACAUGUACAAUUGAAGGUCUCUACAUACUCCAUGUCUGGUGUGAACAUGUACAAUUGAAGGUCUCUACAUACCUCAUGUCUGGUGUGAACAUGUACAAUUGAAGGUCUCUACAUACCCCAUGUCUGGUGUGAACAUGUACAAUUGAAGGUCUCUACAUACCCCAUGUCUGGUGUGAACAUGUACAAUUGAAGGUCUCUACAUACCCCAUGUCUGGUGAGAACAUGUACAACUGAAGAUCUCUACAUACCCCAUGUCUGGUGUGAACAUGUACAAUUGAAUGUCUCUAUAUACCCCAUGUCAGGUGUGAACAUGUACAAUUGAAGGUCUCUACAUACCCCAUGUCUGGUGUGCACAUGUACAAUUGAAUGUCUCUACGUACCCCAUGUCCGGUGUGAACAUGUACAAUUGAAGGUCUCUACAUACCCCAUGUCCGGUGUGAACAUGUACAAUUGAAUGUCUCUACAUACCCCAUGUCUGGUGUGAACAUGUACAAUUGAAGGUAUCUACAUACCCCGUGUCCGGUGUGAACAUGUACAAUUGAAGGUCUCAUCUUUGAAAUUGGGACAGGUGGAAAAUUAAUGAAUUGAUGCAGACAGAAGUCGCAUAAUGACAAAUCAAACAAAACGUGUAAAUCAAGACAGUCUAGUGGCCAGCCAUGUUUUUAUGUGACCAUCCAAGUUGUGUUCAAAGAAAACAAUAGUUCAUGUUUUAUUGGAACUAUGAUGCUGAUAGUCAUUUUAUGUAAAAGGCUUUUAUUAACUAUAUUUAAAUACUCAGUAUAAUAAGAUUAAGAUUACUUGAUAAAAGCAAUAAUGAACAAUAUUAUUUUAAGAGCAAAAUUAGCAAGUCUAUCCAAUUACUGUGUCUGUAUUAUGAAAUUUUAUUUUGGAAAUGUUAAGGAAAAUAUAAUGUUACUAAAUAUAUGUCUAUGAAUGUUGAUUUUAACAUUUGUCAAAGCUGUUUAAAUGAUGCUGGUAACUUUGACAAAAUUGAAAGAAAAUGUAUUAUUUUCAUGUAAAGAGACAUGCUUCAGUUUGUUUUGCUUAACAUGUAAUAUAGAGGUGGUAGUUACACACAUUGUUUAGACAGGUGGAUAAUUACAAUGCUAAGGCUUUGAUACUCUUAAGUGUGCCCAUUGGUGUCGGGUGUUUUUGUCAAGCAUCUUGUUUAUUAUCAUAGUAUUUCAAGACAAUAUUGAUUAAUUUUAGACAAAAUCAUUUAAUCUUCCUUAAAUUGUCUAUUCGGUAUUUACUACCAGUUAUUUAUUAAUUUACUUGAACAUGAUUUAAUAAUGACUUUUUUGUUGCUUAAAAUGCUUUAUAUGUUUUAAAACUAAGCAUUUAAAACGAAAAUAUAAGAUGUGGGAAUAAUGUCUAAAGUUAUGAUAGUUAUUUUUUGUUUUUGUAAAGUUAAUUAUGCCUUAUAUGUUUGUGUAUAGACAUUUAGACGACCAGAUUAACCUGACAAAGAAUUCUUGAUCAAUGUGUAUAUCGGUCAGUACAUUUGUCAUUUGUAUAUAGAGCGAUUGCGAAAUGAUUGUAUUGUUAAUGAAAAUCAUGCGUUUAUUGUUGCCAUUUUGAUUUUCGCUGUUAACAUGUAUUUGUACAAACAAUUUUCAUCAUGUACAUCUUUUAGGUGCCAGAUAAUAAAAAAAACAUUGCUUGUGGAGAUGCUCAUUUAAAACUUUCUUAAAGAUACAGAACAACACAUUCUGAAGAGGCUAAUAUGCUUUAGGCAAAAGGAACAUCUUGUUACUAGUAUAUGUAAUGCCUUUCACUAAAUAAAGUCAAGCAACUAUUGAAAGAUUGGUUUAACUUUGUUUUGCAUUAUCAUAAGAAAAAUUAAUAUAUUCAACUUGGAAAUCAGUCAAUUGCAAAUCAAGCGAGAGUGAUUUAACAUGCUAACACUUGUCAAUAAUUGAAUUGUCUCUCUUUGUACAUAAGAUAUAGGGAUGUUGUUGCUUGAAAAACAAAGUUGUAUCCGUUGUUAGAUAAUGCUUUUGUUCAUCUCUCAACAUAACAAGUACAUUCAUACAGUUAUUAAAAAUUUGACACUCUUAAUUCUCAGCCAUCAGUUUGUAUUGGGAAUUUGUGGAAUACUUACUAAACUAAUAUACGUCUGUUUAAUGAAUUAACAGCUAUGGUACAAUAUGAUACUCAAUGUUACAAAACAUGUGUAAUAAAAAUAUAAUGUCAUUUAUUUCAAAUCAUAAAAUUUAGUUGUCCAUACAAUGCUUACAGUUUUGCAAUUGCGACGAUAAAGGAAAUGUUCUGCUCAAAAUGUCUUUUUAAGACAUGUGAAAAUUGUAGCAAUCAUAUUGUACUUGUAUUUAUAUUAUACAUUAUAAGAAUUUACUUACAGCUGAUGAUAGCGGCAGUUUACUAGUUGUGUAACAGUUUGUUCCACUCGACCAUUAGACCAUAUUUCCUUAAAAAUGUGAUUGUUAAUAUUGAACUGUAAUUGAAUGCAUGAAACAUGAUUGUUCUGUUGCUUAACAGCUGAAAAUAGCUUGAUGUUUGUAAAAUUGUAUGAAAUGUUUCAAAUAAAUCAUAUUGAUUACAUAAAAAAAUAAAAUUA